GGACCCGCACAAGCAGUGGAGUAUGUGGAUUAAUUCGACGCAACGCGAAGAACCUUACCAGGGCUUGACAUCCAUCGAACGGGCAAGAGAUUGCCUGGUGCCCUUCGGGGAGCGAUGAGACAGGUGGUGCAUGGUUGUCGUCAGCUCGUGUCGUGAGAUGUUGGGUUAAGUCCCGCAACGAGCGCAACCCUUAUCGUUAGUUGAUACAUUAAGUUGAUCACUCUAGCGAGACUGCCGUUGACUAAAACGGAGGAAGGUGGGGACGACGUCAAAUCAUCAUGCCCUUUAUGUCCUGGGCUUCACACGUACUACAAUGGCAGUCAUACAGAGGGAAGCAAUAUGGCGACAUGGAGCGAAACCCUAAAAGCUGUCUCAGUUCGGAUUGCAGGCUGCAACCCGCCUGCAUGAAGGUGGAAUUGCUAGUAAUCGCGGAUCAGCAUGCCG
rnacentral:rRNA from 1 species